rnacentral:rRNA from 1 species
UACAGAGGGUGCGAGCGUUAAUCGGAAUUACUGGGCGUAAAGCGCACGUAGGCGGCUUGGUAUGUCGGGUGUGAAAUCCCCGGGCUCAACCUGGGAACUGCAUCCGAAACUGCCUUGCUCGAGUAUGGGAGAGGGAAGUGGAAUUUCCGGUGUAGCGGUGAAAUGCGUAGAUAUCGGAAGGAACAUCAGUGGCGAAGGCGACUUCCUGGACCAAUACUGACGCUGAGGAGCGAAAGCGUGGGGAGCAAACGGG